rnacentral:lncRNA from 1 species
UUUUUAUCCCCCUCGUCUCUUUCCUCUUUCUUUAACCCUGUUAUUUUGAGUUUCACCUGAAUCUCAUAAGUCUUUCUACCAAGAUGAUUCCUCUUGAUUUCAUAUCUAAGAAGAAUCUCUUAGAAGAAAGACCUUUGAGGGUCGGGUAACCCACGCAGAAGUCGUCUCGUUUGUUCCCGGUGGUAAAUUUUAUUUGCCUCAUCAUUUUUCUUCGUGGCCGUCACUGUCCGCAAUCCUCUUCGCCGGCGUUUGAUACUCCUGUUGGUAAUUUCUUCUUCUGUCCGUUGACUUCUUAAAUUCAUAUAGUUUAGUCAAUGAUUAUUUUAAUUCCAGUUUUCGAUCAGUUAAUUGCAUGCUUAAUUGGGUUUUCAUUGCAAUCGUUCUAAGUUUGUUUAAAUUGUUAACUUUGAUCGUUGUGGGCAUGAUGGUGGCCAGAUUUGUAACCAUAUGGUCUGUUUGGUUUUCUUUGUAAAAGUUGGGCCAGCUUUGUUUGACAGGCAUACCCGUUAAAUUUGAGGCAAGUAAAAAAGAAAACUCAAGGGAGCAGCCCUGAAAAUUGGUUAUAAAAGAGAAUCUUCCCUCACACUUUCUACCCUCAUUCACUCUCACCUCCACUCACACACGCACUUAGGCAUUCAUAGCAACAGCCUGGAAUUUUUAAAAUUCAAACUCCAGAUCUGCUAAACAAAAGCUCCAAAAAACCCAAAAAAAAGAUCAAAUGCUAUUCUGAUUUCUACUAUUUUACUUCGAUAAUUUCUGGGAUCUUCAAGAUGUUUCUGGAUCGUAAAUUGAAGUUAUUUACUGACUCUGCUGCUGUUUGUUGUCGAUUGUAGCUGAUUUCAUCAUUUUCUUCAGUUAUGACCUUUAUUUGGUCAAUUUCUUCUACUGUUUUUCUGCUGCUAGGUAUGUGACGGCACGCAUGUACUUCUUCGUUGAAUGUAUAAAUGAAGAUUUGAAAUACCUGAUGUAUCCAUGUUUAAUUUUGUGUAUUCAUUGUGAUUGAUUACCAGAUUUAUUUACAUGUGUUUGUUCUGCUAUGAUCUGCUUAUAACUGUCUUUGUAAGCUGAAAAUUCUGAGUUGAAUUUGUUCAAGUGUUUGAAAGGCCAUGUCACAGAUUCAGCUUAUUUAAUUGCCGUCAUUCAUGUACUAGUUCUAAUUUGUAAUAAAUUUGAACUUUAGUUUGUUCAUAUGACUUCUAGUGUCAAGAGUUAAUUGAGAUUAUAGCAUGACCACUAGAGAAUCUAUUGGGGUUAUGAAGUUCUGGAAGUAACUUGAAGUGUUUAGUGAUUUGUUGAUAACAGCUUUGCGCUUGUGAUUGCAAAUUAAGAAUCAGCUUAGAAGAUCGCACGUACUGGUGGAUUAUCACUGUC